ACACCUGUAAGCACGCAGCAAGAAUGGUCUUUAUUGAAAGUCAUGUUAAGUGGGAUGGACUUUAGAUAAACGGCGGCUAAUUCCCUAUUUGGAGCAUGCAACCAACGAGCCUCCAGCAGGCUCAUGGAGAGCGGAGCCCUGCUUGUCCGAACCGGGGGCAGGUUGAUCGGAUGCCUUUCAUCCCAGCAGCGCCGUUAGAUGUUUCCCAUUCAGGAUUAAUUGGUUGACCAAUGGCUCCCAAACAUGCGCGCCUCUCCAGCAGCGGUGGCCCCGGGGUCGGAGGGGUAAAUAAGAAAGAAGACCCCUGCUCUUCCUCCUCGUCGCUAUGGAUCCUGGAUGCGGGGAUGGUGGCCGUCUACUCGCCGAGGAUCGGGAAGAGGACGCGCGUGCUGAAUGGAAUGGUGGCCCGGUGGUUUGUGACCAUCGGCGCGGCGCUGAUGCUGAUGAUCCAGAGCUCCCUGGCCGCUGACGCUGAGGGAGGUCAUCAUGAGUCAAUGAGGCAGGCUCACUUGCUUCUGAACCCCGCAGUGCCCUCCAACCUCUCGGCCACCCCUGGGAUUGGAGACAAAGCUGGAGCUAACAACAAGGAUACAAUGGAUGGGCCUCACACUGGUCCUGAUGCUGGGUCUGAAGCUUGGCCUGAGGCAAAAGUGUUUGCUGAAGCCAGAACAGCGGUUUGGACAGAAACAGAAGCAGGAGUGCGUGCUGAAGCAGGUGGCAAAGUCUUUACCAAGACUGGGAUUAUGACAGGAACUGGUGCUUGGGCUGAAGUCGGAGCAGAAUGGAGGCCCGUAGACACAGAAGGGGAAGACCUGCCGAGCAUGCCUGGGGACACAGCUCCCUGGCUGGGGCAGCGGAGGCUACAGACAGAUGGAGAGGAAAGAAGAGAGCAGGCAGCUUUCUCAUCUGUCCUAACCAUGCUGGCAGAGACAGCAGAGCUGCAGGCUCCAGUGGUUGGAAAACCUUUAGGGCUGCUGUCUAAAGCUGCUUGGACCAAAAGCUCCUCUUCAUCAUCGGCCAAAGCCGCCUCCUCCUCUACGACAAAAGCAUCCUCUUUGCCUUCUUCCUUCACAUCCUCCUCUUCUCCAGCUAGUACACUACAAGACAGUCACACAGCAGGAUCACAGAAUAUAUCUGUGCUUGUUGUCAACACUAACUAUUCCAACAGCAACAGUAGCCCCACCAUGGCAUUGCUAUCAUCACAGCCGCUUAUGCGCAUCAUCUUCAUCAUCCCAUCAUCGCCCUCACUGUUUUGUCAGCAACUUUAUCAUAGUGUCAUCAUCUUCAUCAUCAUCAGCAUCCUUCAUGUCAUGUCCCAUUUCAUCACCUUCAUAUCUCCCCUGCUUCCUGUCAU
rnacentral:lncRNA from 1 species